CCUAAGGGUGGCAGCAGUGGGGAAUAUUGGACAAUGGGCGAAAGCCUGAUCCAGCCAUGCCGCGUGUGUGAAGAAGGCCUUCGGGUUGUAAAGCACUUUCAGUGGGGAAGAAAGCCUUGGGGCUAAUACCCUCGAGGAAGGACAUCACCCACAGAAGAAGCACCGGCUAACUCCGUGCCAGCAGCCGCGGUAAUACGGAGGGUGCGAGCGUUAAUCGGAAUUACUGGGCGUAAAGCGCGCGUAGGCGGUCUGAUAAGCCGGUUGUGAAAGCCCCGGGCUCAACCUGGGAACGGCAUCCGGAACUGUCAGGCUAGAGUGCAGGAGAGGAAGGUAGAAUUCCCGGUGUAGCGGUGAAAUGCGUAGAGAUCGGGAGGAAUACCAGUGGCGAAGGCGGUCUUCUGGACUGACACUGACGCUGAGGUGCGAAAGCGUGGGUAGCAAACAGGAUUAGAUACCCCGGUAGUC
rnacentral:rRNA from 1 species